rnacentral:rRNA from 1 species
GUGGGGAAUAUUGGACAAUGGGCGCAAGCCUGAUCCAGCCAUGCCGCGUGAGUGAUGAAGGCCCUAGGGUUGUAAAGCUCUUUCACCGGAGAAGAUAAUGACGGUAUCCGGAGAAGAAGCCCCGGCUAACUUCGUGCCAGCAGCCGCGGUAAUACGAAGGGGGCUAGCGUUGUUCGGAAUUACUGGGCGUAAAGCGCACGUAGGCGGACAUUUAAGUCAGGGGUUAAAUCCCGGAGCUCAACUCCGGAACUGCCUUUGGUACUGGGUGUCUGGAGUAUGGAAGAGGUGAGUGGAAUUCCGAGUGUAGAGGUGAAAGUCGUAGAUAUUCGGAGGAACACCAGUGGCGAAGGCGGCUCACUGGUCCAUUACUGACGCUGAGGUGCGAAAGCGUGGGGAGCAAACAGGAUUAGAUACCCCGGUAGUCC